GUUCCGCUUCGUGCUCUGUCUUCCUCUAAAUCUCUCAACUGCUUUAUUCUUCAGGCAUGCUAUGGACUGAAGACUGUCAUGCCAACCCCCCUCCCAUAUGCAUACCAGAAGGUUUGUACGUACAAAGAGAAUACAGUCAACGAGACGGUAUCCAUCUGCAAGCUAAACAGAGGAAACUAACCCUGCCAGCACCUUGGGCUUCAACUUCCACCCCCUAGAACUGUGAGAAAGGCUUCCCUGGUGGCGCAGUGGUUGAGAGUC